GUGGUGGCUCAGGGGUAGAGCGCUUGCCUAGCCUGUGUGAGGCACUGGGUUCGAUUCUCAGCACCACA
rnacentral:tRNA from 1 species